AGCGUCAUUUCACCAAUCAAGCCUCGCUUGGUAUUGGGCGAUGCGGCCUGCCCGCACGCCUCAAAUGCAACGGCCGAACGUGCUCUCCUCCGGCGUCGUGGAAACAUACCGCUAUGGGGAUGAGGGCGACUCGUGCCGCACAAACCUAAAUUUUCAAAGGUUGACCUCGGAUCAGGUGGGGAUACCCGCUGAACUUAAGCAUAUCAAUAAGCGGAGGAAAAGAAACCAACAGGGAUUGCCUCAGUAACGGCGAGUGAAGCGGCAAAAGCUCAGAUUUGAAAUCUGGCGUCUUCGGCGUCCGAGUUGUAAUCUGUAGAGGAUGCCUUUGGGUGGCCACCGGUCUAAGUCCCCUGGAACGGGGUGUCACAGAGGGUGAGAAUCCCGUAUGUGACCGGGAAGGCGCCCUAUACAUGGCUCCUUCGACGAGUCGAGUUGUUUGGGAAUGCAGCUCUAAAUGGGAGGUAAAUUCCUUCUAAAGCUAAAUACCGGCCAGAGACCGAUAGCGCACAAGUAGAGUGAUCGAAAGAUGAAAAGCACUUUGGAAAGAGAGUUAAAAAGCACGUGAAAUUGUUGAAAGGGAAGCGCUUGCAACCAGACUUGUUGGCGGUGUUCCGCCGGUCUUCUGACCGGUCUACUCACCGUCUGCAGGCCAGCAUCAUCUGGGGCCGCUGGAUAAAAGCGGAGGGAAUGUGGCUCCUCCGGGAGUGUUAUAGCCCUCUGUGUAAUACAGCGAGUCCCGGGUGAGGUCCGCGC
rnacentral:rRNA from 1 species